GGAAGGAUCAUUAACACGUAAAUAAUAUCAACAACACCAAAAGUGUACUGUUUGUGGUGAGAGGUUGUGUGUGGAGAUGUGUGGGUAAUACCACACACCAAAGCAUAUUGAUCUCUCAUCAUCUUUGUUGUCUCUGUUUUACCAAUUUUGACUUCAAUGUCUAAGUUAUAACAUAAAAAACUAAGAAAAAUUUUCAACGAUGGAUAUCUUGGUUCCCACAACGAUGAAGAACGCAGCGAAAUGCGAAAAGCAAUGCGAAUUGCAGAACUCCGCGAGUCAUCAGAUCUUCGAACGCAUCUGGCGCCGACCGGAUAUCCGAUCGGCAUGUUUGUUUCAGUGUCGUGUUCAGACUCACAUAACUCAAUGUGAUUGAUCGUGAUCCAUAUCUUCGGAUAUGUGUGUCAUGAUCUCUCAUGAAGUUAGGACUGCGGCAACCGACCGAUGCAGUAGUCAGUCUUGUGCUGAUACUCAUUGGGAAGGAAGCUAUACAACAGUCACACGUGCUCUUUGAACUCCACAACGCAUCUGAGACAAGCAAGAACACCCGCUGAACUUAAGCAUAUCAGUAAGCGGAGGAGAAGAAAUUAACAAAGAUUGCCCUAGUAGCGGCGAGCGAAGAGGCAAAAGCUCAAACUGAGAAUCUGAGGUGGUAACGCCUCCGAAAUGUAAUCUCAAGCGUUAUCCAGAAGCUGAGAAGACGCAUAAGGUUCUGGAAAGGACCGUCGUAGAGGGUGAAAACCCCGUGCAUGGUGUACUUCUCGGUGUAUGGGUGGCGGCGAAGAGUCGGGUUGUUUGGGACUGCAGCCCAAAAUGGGAGGUAAACUUCUCCUAAGGCUAAAUAUGGGUGGGAAACCGAUAGCAAACAAGUACUGUGAAGGAAAGAUGAAAAGAACUUUGAAAAGAGAGUUAAAAGACUUGAAAUCGUUGAGAAGGAAGCGGUAGAAAAGAAUGAAUUGGUCAGGACUUUAAGGUUGACAGUGGGUGCACACGUGGUGGAAUGUACUUCAUAGGCUUCCGUUGCGUGCUGUGAUCCUAUUGUGACUGAGCUCCUGGCCAAGAGGCAACAUCAGGAUUUGUGAUCGGGAAAAAGCGCUAGGGAAUUUCUCGCAAGAGUAGCCCGGUGUCACACCGACCACAGUCCUGAGGGACGAAAGUGAUGUUGUCGAAAUGGUUUCUACCGACCCGUCUUGAAACACGGACCAAGGAGUCUAACAACUACGCGAGUGUGCGAGUGUCAAAACUCAUACGCGAAAUGAAAGUGAAAACAAGGUGUGAACCGCAAGGUGCAACACCGACCGACCGGAGCCACGGCGACGGCUUGAGUAAGAGCGUACUUGCUAGGACCCGAAAGAUGGUGAACUUUACUUGAGUAGGGUGAAGUCAGGGGAAACUCUGAUGGAAGCUCGUAGCGAUAUUGACGUGCAAAUCAUUCGUCAAACUUGAGUAAAGGGGCGAAAGACUAAUCGAACCAUCUAGUAGCUGGUUCCCUC
rnacentral:misc_RNA from 1 species